rnacentral:rRNA from 1 species
GACGUAGGGCGCGAGCGUUGUCCGGAAUUAUUGGGCGUAAAGAGCUCGUAGGCGGUUUGUCACGUCUGCUGUGAAAUCCCGAGGCUCAACCUCGGGCCUGCAGUGGGUACGGGCAGACUAGAGUGCGGUAGGGGAGACUGGAAUUCCUGGUGUAGCGGUGGAAUGCGCAGAUAUCAGGAGGAACACCGAUGGCGAAGGCAGGUCUCUGGGCCGCAACUGACACUGAGGAGCGAAAGCAUGGGGAGCGAACAGG